AGGAUCUUUUAUUGAUGGAAUUACAAUUCGCACUUUUAAAAGAUUUAAAGAUAAUUUUGUGGAUAGCUUUGAUACAGAACCAAAAGAUCGAAAAAACUUCAUUCCUUAAAAUACAACAAGAUUCUCAACAACUUGGAUUUAUUCCAGAACAAAAAGAUAGAAAGCCUCAAGAACAAAUUUGCUUCAUCUAAUAAUAUGUGUGGAACUGACAGAGUUUUCCCGCCAGAAUUUUUUUAGAAGCGCGCUUGGCUUGACUUGACGGGAGUAGCUAUAAGCUAUACGCACUACACUACGCAUUUGAAGAGGCUUGAAGCGAAUUUAAAAAAAAACACAAAAUUUCAUGAAUUGAAAUUUAAAUUUUGUUGUUUUCUUUUUUUUUGAUUUAUAAAGUAUUUUUUUUUUCAAGUUUGCCACACGGGAUUUUGCCUAUAAUCACAUUCAAGAGCUUUAAAGAAAAAUAAGCGCUGUUUUGCUCAAGAGCCACACCUUUUAAAUUGUUAUUGUUUUUUUUACUAGGGAUUUGGACAAUCAAACACGUGGUUUAAGUGGAAUUAUUA